CCGGUCUCAUGUAAACAUCUAUUAUAAAUAAUACUGUGACAGAAACGAAAUGGUCCCGGUUUGACUUCGUUCCGGUCUCAUGUAAACAGGGCCUUAGAUGAGGAAAGUGACAAAUUUCUUUUUCACUAACAAGCGACAAGAUAUUACAAAGAAUCAAACAGCAAUUUCCAAUCGUCGUUCUAUUUCGAAAGACAAAACUCUGGCAAAGCUUUUCUUGUACACAUCCUGCCUCAUGACCCUGUCUAAACUGUUGCGUUGCUGCACUUAUUAUGCGUGUGCACAAAGGCAGUAUAUAUAGAAUAUAUAUAGAACCAUGCAAUAACCAUACACUCAAAUGUUCCUUUUUUUUUCAGAUCGGUUAUCAAAUUCAGAAGCUGACGAAUUUCGAAAGUACAGUUUUUGCAGAGAAAAUCAUCGUUAUAAACUUUCUUUCAAGCUAUCAAAGUCUACUGAACAGAAAAUAGAUCGAAUUUGUAAAUAUACUGAACAUUUAGACCGCCAGGAUUUAUGCCGGAUUUCAUUGUACCCAGAACAACAAAAAAAAAAACAAUGGCCUGGAUACAAGUAUCUACAGCCUGUUCGCAGGCAAACAAGAAAGAACAGUACCUGAAAAUAGACAUUUCUGUGACCUUUGUAUGUCCAUCAACUGAAUAUCAUUACGGGGCCAUAUUUAUCCAUCAUAGUUUCUUUGUAUCCAUUUAUUAUAGUCACAAAUAUCCACUGCUGGUCAUGAACAUUUAUCAAUCCUUUCAUUUCAUCCGAGAACUACUGUCUUUGGUGUAUUGUUGUAAUUUGAUUAGAAAUAGAGGUAUUCCCUCAUGUAUUGCUCUUCGAGGCAUGUCAUCUUGGUAACAUGAUAUUUUAUAAAACAAUAUUUCAUCAGCACGUUCAAGUAAUGAUCUGUAAAACAAAGCAAAAAAAAUAUUAAAAAAUUCAGAUAUAAAACUUAAACCAUUUUGCUACAAAAAACAAAUUUAACCAUUAGGUUGUACUGUGCCCUGAUGCAUGCUCUACUUGAGUAUUUUACUGUCCAACGCUAGACGAUUUUAUGCUUCAUAAUGAGACUGCCCAUGUGUCUAGUUACCCAUUAAUUAACUGCCAGUGUACCCCCUGCUUAAUAAAAUUGUAUGACGUUAGACAGAGUUAAAUAAUAAAAGUUGGAAAAUUAGAGUGCAAAUCAACUUAAUGGCUAAAUGUGCUGUUUACAUGAUCCCAGUUUGUCAGGACAGGAUGAAAGGUGGGAUGAUUUUCAUGCACUGAAAUAAGUCACUAGGCUUGAACAAAAAAGUUGUAAACAACUCUGCAUAAUCUCAGAUAAAAUUUUCCAAGGAUACACUUAAUUGUCUUUGCACACAUUGUUGGUGUAUAGUUAUUUGUCAAGCCAGCCAGAUAGUUGAAUUGCUGUUCUCUAAGAUAAAUAGGAUUAACUCCUUAAGCUGCAAAGGAACUCAAAUGUCUGAUAUCAGAUCAUUUUACUCAUCAAGAGGAAACGGUCUUGUGCAUCAGAUGGUCCCAUGCAAGAUGCUUACAACUUGAGUUGCACUGUGCAAAUCAAGCACACAACCUCCCUAUUUUUUCGCAGGUGAGUGUAAAUUGGUCUGGAGGUGGUUCCCUACUAGGGUUUUAUCCCCCCCCCCCCGGGGUUAUGUUCUUCGUAUAUAUAUAUAUAUAUAUAAACGAUGGAGUUCUCCGAGAGUAAUAUCACAUACGUACCCUUUUCUAGAUAUAUGCAAAAUUAAAAGCAAAGAUUAACAUACGAUAGCAUAAUAUGUAUUUAUUUUACUUCCUAU